UCAUAUGCAAGUUGUAACACGUCCGGUCAUUUAUUAGCAAUUUUUAGAAAAGAAAUCUUCAGAAAAUGUAAAACUUGACGAAAAAUAUAAAAAACUUGGCGUGGUGCCUUGAAUUUAUAGGAAAUGAUAAUAAUUUGGGUGAUUGAAGAGACGUCGAGAAACAAGGUGAACAUGGUCUAGUUUUGGAUAUUCUUGAAAUGAACCCAACUUUUACAAGAAGGUGGGCAUGCGCAUGGUAGGAAUCAAUGCAGGUUUGAAC
rnacentral:lncRNA from 1 species